AAUGGAUUUUAAUAUUAGAUAAGAAAUGAAUUGGAAACAUACUGUGUUUAUUCUGACGAGUAAUAUUGUCUUGUUUAAUGGACUAUGUGGCGCGCAGUGCACGUGGCCCAGUGAGUUCCGGUCUAGCACGUGGCGCUCGAACAGACAUGGCGUCCUUGCGUUCUCGACCAGCACCAUGGAGGGAUGGUCUUUCACGGUGGACGGACAGACCAGGUCGACGUGGCAGUGCACGAAUGUAGACCUCUUUCAGACGGAGGGGUAUCUCAUGAUGAGAUCGUCGACGAGUUUCCGGUCGUUAGGCGAAGAUUUCUAUGCCUAUUUGUGCGUCAGACUGAAACAACUUACGGCCAUGUCGUACCGAUUUUACGUUGAGGCCCGUAAGUUUAUGCGCAUGCGCACUUUAUUUCAGGUCUGUCAACAGCUUCAUACAGUUUGUGACG